AUGUCAGAGUCAGGUAAUGAGAUAGAGGUGGAGGAGCAGAUGGCUGGUUAUCAGCAUGAAGAUUUACAAGGUGGAGCCCACAUAAUGGUAGACUCAUCAGAGAGACCGUGUCUGAAGGAAACAAAUGAAGCUAAACAACAAAGUCCAACUGAUCUCCAAGGCAAGCUUAACAAGGAUGAUAAUGCUCUUGAAGGUCCAAGACGCUCUGAACGCACACGCCAUGCUACAGAGAAGAUGCGCGCACAUCAAUAUGAAGAGCCCAAGAAAAAAGAGAAAAGGCUGUAUGCCAUGUACGAGCGGUGGAAGCUCCACACACGGAAGGCAAGAGAUCAGCUAAAGACUUAUAUGUCAGAGAGUCAGCUCUGGCCUCUCAUUGAAGAGCUUAAGAAAGAUAAAGAAGACGUAAUGAACAUUUAUUAUGAAAUUCGAAAUCUCACUACACCUUCCACCGACGUAAGAAGAAGAGUUGAUACGUGUGAAUCGGUGACCACAGAAAUCAUCAACAUUGCCUACAGCAGAGCUAUAGAUGAUGAAAGCGGGUUUAAUGAGCAGCAGGAAAGACACCGCCUUCAUGAACUGCUCCGCCAUGACUAUGCAAAGUCUGUCUAUGGAUCCGCAGCUUCUUUGAUAAGUCACAGCCAGUCUGACCACUACUCCAUAACUUCAGUCAUGACAGCAAAACGCACAGAUGCAGCAGCUGAACUAGCAGUGAAAGAAGCAAAUUAUCAAAUGCUGCUAGAGGAAGAAAGGCAAAAGGAAUCCAUAAGAGAGUUAGAGGAACAACAACGCAAGGCUCUAGAGGCACAAAGGCGUGAGUUGGAGCGAUUGCAGGGAGAAAAAGAGAUACGGGCAGCUCAAGCCAAGUUGAAGAUCUAUGAAAAGGAGACAGAACACAAGGAUGCUACCUAUGUUAAAAAGGAAAGGAACAUGGAAGUAAAGAAUGUGCCUGGAUCUACGGUGUCUCUCUCUCAAGUUGCAUUGCCCCGUUGUACAGACAUUCCCUCUCUUACUCAGAUCCUGCAAGACAACAUAGCCUUAAAUAGGCUUCCUGUUCCUGAGCCAUUUGUCUUUAAUGGCGAUCCCAUACAAUUCAUUGAAUGGAAGGCAGCAUUCAUCUCACUCAUUGACCAAAGGGCAAUCACACCAGCUGAAAAACUAUACUAUCUGAAAAAAUAUGUUGGUGGCCCAGCACGGCAGGUUUUAGAUGGCAACUUCUACCGAAAUGACGAUGAAGCAUACCAAGACGCAUGGGACAAACUAAAUCGUCGCUUUGGCCAGCCAUUCACCAUUCAGAGAGCAUUCAGAGAGAAGCUCACCAACUGGCCGAGAAUUCCAUCAAAGGAUGCUGAAGGACUGAGACGCUUCUCAGAUUUUCUGAAUGCUUGUCAAGAUGCUAUGCCUUAUGUCAAGGGUCUCGACAUAUUAAAUGACUGGGAGGAGAAUCGGAAGCUCGUUCACAAAUUGCCAGACUGGGCAGCUUUAAGUUGGAACCGACAAGUCACGCAAAGCCUAAAUGAAAAUCAAGAAUUCCCAAGUUUCAAAGAGUUUGCUAGAUUCAUGUCAAACGAAGCCGAGAUUGCUAAUGGGAUUCCAUUACUUCCUUUCAUGCCCUUCGUUCAUCAGAUUCUAUCACUGAGAAGAGAAAUCUUAGAGACGUGA
ensembl:lncRNA